rnacentral:rRNA from 1 species
AACGAACGCUGGCGGCAUGCCUAACACAUGCAAGUCGAACGCGUGUAGCAAUACACGAGUGGCGGACGGGUGAGUAACGCGUGGGAACCUGCCCAAUGGUAGGGAAUAACUGCGGGAAACUGCAGCUAAUACCCUAUGCUCCCUACGGGGGAAAGAUUUAUCGCCAUUGGAGGGGCCCGCGUCGGAUUAGCUAGUUGGCGGGGUAACGGCCCACCAAGGCUACGAUCCGUAGCUGGUCUGAGAGGAUGAUCAGCCACACUGGGACUGAGAUACGGCCCAGACUCCUACGGGAGGCAGCAGUGGGGAAUAUUGGACAAUGGGGAAACCCUGAUCCAGCAAUGCCGCGUGAGUGAAGAAGGCCUUAGGGUUGUAAAGCUCUUUCGGC